GGAGCCGAGCCCCGCGGCCCCGCACCGGGAAGCGGAAGCGCAGCGCUGCGAGGGGCGGAGCGAGGGCGGCUGCGCGGGCCGUUCGUCCUCGGCGGCCAUGGAGCGCUACGUGCUGCUCCUCGGCUGGGGGGCUGCGGCGGGCGGCGCCGAGCACGGAGCCGGCGCUGGAGCAGCUGUUGCAAAUGUUUAUAAGCUCCUGAAAGAAAAAUGUAAUUCAUCUAUAAAAACAAAUACAGUGACUUUUCCAGCAUGUUCAGUGGCUGGUAUUCCAGGCAUAAAGAAAUGGUACUUUGCGAGUCACAUUAUAUGUGGCUAUUAUCAAUUCUGCAGUUCUGACUGGGAGGAAAUAAAUUCUGACAUGCAGAAAAAUGAAGACUGUCUCCAAACAACUAUUGAGAAGUGUCUGGGAAACAUACAGAACUUUGAGGAAGAUGACAGUAACAGUAGGGAGUCACUGUCUAUGGCUGAUGUUUAUGAUGAAGCUGCAGAAAGUCUGCAUCAGUUGGCUGACAGACUGCCUGCCCCAGGAAGAGCAAUGGUGGAUAUCAUACUACAGGCUGUUGAAGGAGAUGCACCCAAGUUGAAAGACUGCUUACCUGUGAUUGGUGCCCUGAAACACCUGAGAGAAUGGCACUCUGCACAAAUCACCAUUGCAACAAGUGACUCUAAAGGCUGGCAAAAGAUUGCAGACUACCUAUCGGCAGACUUUGUCUCUUCAGAUGAUGUCAUGGAUGUUAUCGAUUUAAAAGAGCUCUGGAGGGGAAAGAUUCACAUAUGGGAAAGAAAGUUUGCAUCAGAAGUUAGCUUUCCAGAAUUUUGUAUGAAGAGCACUUCAGCAAAACCUCUCAGCACCUCACAUCUAAAUUCUUGCUUUGCUGACCAACGAUGUAUGAAUUCUGAUGCUUUGCCAGAGGUUUUUCAUUACUAUGGUCCUGCUUUAGAGUUUUUACAGAUGGUUGACCUCUCUGAACUCCCCCCCUUUUUUAUAUCAGAUCUGGAAUUUGAGCUGAGCCUGGCAAGAAAGGGUAAAAAACAGAUGUCUGCACUGCUUUUAGAUCAGAUUUCUUCUCUCUCUGGGAAGGUGGGAGCUUUAGUUUCAUUAGCAUGCAAUGUAAGCAGUGUAGUGAUCCCAUCUCCUGCCCAGCUGAGUACAAAGAAAUGGAAGGAAUAUAUGGCUAGGAAACCUAAGGUCAUUACUGUUCCAGAAAUUGAUCUGAAAGGAGAAUCUUGCCGAUACUAUUUCUUGCUACAAGGCAACGGUUCAGGAGGAUGUAAAGCAACCUUGAUUCAUUCUGCUACCCAAAUCAAUGGUAUGGCCAUUCUUGCUGCUGUAAAUAGAAUACUGAAGACAAAUGUAGGAGAAACAGAGUCAAGCUUUCCUACUGAUGACUUUAUUGAGUCUCUGCCGCGGUUCUGUGGAAAGCAAAUUGUACAGAGAGAAAAGAAACUGUCACAUCUCCAGGCAUCUGCUCUAAAGGAGUAUCUCAAGAGAAAGAAAGUGACUGAGCAGCCUCCAGUUAUUUCCACUGAUGAGCUCAAAAGCUUGUUAGAACUUACAAGAGAAUGCUUUUUGGACCUGUGGAACACUAAUGUUCCUGAACCUGUUCCACGGAAGACUGCCCAUAAAACUAGUUCACAUACAGUGGCUUCUGAAUCAGAUUUAAUGGAGCCAAAACCAUUGGAAUGGCCAGAAAGACAUGUUCUUCAGAAUUUGGAAAACUUUGAAAAAAUCAAACAAAAAAUGAGAGCUUCUAUGCUUGCACAUUCAUCUGAACAGCUGCUUGGACAUAAAGAUAGCCAGCGAGAGUCACUGACAUCACUUGAUGCAAAGGAGUUACUAAAAUACUUCACACCAGAAGGGCUGCCAGUUGGUGAUCUUCAGCCACUGCAUAUUCCCAAACGUGAAAAUGCAUUCUUUUUGACACCUGAGCUUACUCCUCGGAAGCUAAGAGGUCUGCCUUUUGAAAAAGCAGCUGGAUGCCAUUAUCAUGGAAUCGAAUACUGUCUAGAUAACAGGAGAGCUUUAGAGAGAGACUUGGGAUAUGCUGAACUUCAAGCUCGUCUUAUUCGCUAUGAAACUCAGACCACUUGCACCAAGGAAUGCUGCCCUCUGCCGGUCGUCUUGAGCCCUCUGCCGGCUGUCCUGAGCCCCCUGCCGUCUCCUGCAGUCUCGUCGGAGCCUGGAAGCGUCCCCGAUGGAGAGUCUUUACAAAGUGAAUUCAGAACAGAGGUACUGAGGCUAAAACGCAGAUCAAAAGACUUGGAUUGCUUUCAUCCCAAGAAAAGGCUAACAAAAUCAGAGAGUACAGACUCUCUCCUCUCCCAGGCAAGUGGGGGAAGUGGGAGUCAUAAUGCUCUGGUGGUAACCAGGAAGCGCUCUGAAAGAUCAGUUUCUUUAAGUUCGAUGGCAUUGAAGCAGUCUGGUCAGUCCCACAAAGCAGCCAUGAGGGCUGGUUCAGCAAGCUGUGUAAGUGCAACAGAAUCUGAGACUUCAAAGCCAGUUAAGGAAUCGAGAUCUCAGAAACAUACAAGGAUGCUGAAGGAGGUGGUAGCCAAGACUCUACAAAAGCAUGGAAUUGCUGAGGAUCACAAGUGCUUUCCAUCAUGCAGCCAACGUCUAUUUGAGAUAUCAAAGUUUUACUUAAAGGACCUUAAAACUUCUAGAGGACUUCUUGAUGAAAUGAAAAAAACAGCAAGUAACAAUGCUAAGCAGGUGAUUGAAUGGGUUCUGGAGAAAACUGGCAAGUAGACACUGCAGAGACACAGCACUUCUGACUGCAGGGAAAACAUACUGAGUAACACCUGCAACUACCUACUGAAGCACCAGAAGAACUUGCUGCAAAUAUUUAAGUCACUAAGGAAAUAAGAAGCACGUUGAGAGCAGAUGAGAUCUGUGUGCCCCUAGGCUUAUAUCCACCUGGGUAAGCAGCUAACACUGACUCCAAUGCUGUAAGCUCUUUUCUAAGAGUUUCAAACCCUCCAUGUUUUCAGGAGUAGGGAUGGUGGUGUGACUGCUGUGUCCAAUACCUCCUCCUCAUACUUUUCCCUAUGUAUCUGCUCUUGGUCACUGCUGAAGCCAAAACACUGUACCACGACCUGACCGCAUGGCUGCUCCAACAGGCUGAGAAUAAACACUUUACAGAAUGUUAUAUUAUCAAAGGAUAUAAAGAAUUGAGUAGCCAAUAUGCUCUGGAACCACUAGGAGAUUUGGCCAGAAAAAAAAACAUAUUUGCAAAUAUAAUUUAUGGUAUCUAAACUGUUUGUAGGAAUAAACAUUUUUAGGUUAUGUGACAGCUAACUUUAAGAGUUAAGCAGACGGUUCGCACUACAUCUGUAAUCCCCAUUUUUUUCCCACAAUUAGAUUUUUAAGAGUGUCUUAACCACAGUUUGUCACAUUAGAUGAAGAACAUAUGUGCAUGCUGAAAUUAUUAAUAACAUCUCAUUCUUCAGCUCUUCUACCCACAAUCAUUUAAAAAGGGCAAUAGAUACAUAUAAACAUUCUAACAUCUGGCUAUACAGACAUACAAUAUUUUUGUAAAUAUAAGUAAUCAUUCAUCUCUCCUUGCAGUAUUCUACCCUUUUCUAUCUUCAGAUUGUCUCUUUCUAAAGCCAUAUCAUCAUGCUGCACUGGAAACAUGGCAUCUACAUAUUGCUAUUGGAACCACACCGGCCUGUUCCUGUUAGCGCUGUUCCACCUCCACAGCCUUAGGGACCACCAAAGAGAUGGAAACGUGCAUCCCUGCUAAAUGCACUACUUACAAUUUCU